GUGAGCUAAUCCCUUCUGUUCGUUACCUGUGCAAAUAUAUUUUCUCAGGUCCAGAAAAAUUUUUCCAAUGUUUAUGCAACCGAGUUCUAUAUAUGGGUUUCCCUGGCUUAUUAAUAAAUCCUGUUCAAAGUUGAUCAAGCUGGAUACUAGACAUCAUAUAUAUUGUCCCAUUUGAAUUAAAAUGUAUAAAAGCUUCAAGGUAUGGAGUAAAUUAAAUGCAUCUUUGUUGAAUUUAGAUGAUCCAGUAAGGCGAGUUACUGCAAGUAGCACAACUAAUUUUAAUAAUAGGCAUGCAUAUAAAAUAUAAACAGCUCAAUUUGAAUAGGAAAUUGCUACAAAUUUUUUACUAUAUUAAAUAUAUUUUUUUGGGAAUCAUUACUAGAUACUUACUUUUCACAGAUUUUGAUAUUAUUUCGCUUACUCAUUGGGUCGUAGAGCAAGAAGAACUUAAUGUAUCAUUAGAUUAACAAAAAAAAUUCCUGAUAAGUGAUGUGCAACAGGGUUAUGGAAGUAAAGAGACCGAUUUAAUAUUACAGUUUAAUUGAUUUGAGAAAUACAUUGAGAAUUAACGAAUACUCUGAAAAAAUUUUUUAAUAAUAGUAGGAAAGCAGUGAUCAAGGAUGAACAAGCAGGAUAUUUCUAAAUUAAAUUUUUAAGUAUAACAUGUAGAUAAUAUUUUUAUAUUUUGAUUUUAAAAAACAAAAUUAUGUUUAAUGUUUUUAAAUUCCAAGGAAGUACAUCAUCAAUGAUUCAAUUCUCGGAUGUUGGAAAUUGUUUACAAUUAAUUGUACAAUCAUAAUUAAGCAAGUUAAAGGUUUGAUUUGAAGUUUGUUCAAAGGAAUUUAAUUUCUUCUACACAUGGUUGCAAAUGCAAUGUGAAGUAUCAUGCUUUUAUAAUUGUUUUAAAUAUUUUUUCUUGAAAUAUUGUGGUUCGGGUGUUUGUUUUGUACUGCAG
rnacentral:misc_RNA from 1 species